CUCACAGAGGCUCUUGACCUGGGACUCAGAGAGCUGCUUGCACUACUUCAGCUGUUUAAUCCUCUGGUCUAGCUCCUUGGUGAG
rnacentral:pre_miRNA from 1 species